AUUGAGAAUCAUUUAAAAGCAGCUCUUAGCGCAUGGAGAUGCCACAGAGGGGUUCCUGUUUGGAAGAUUUGCUGUUUUGUUUUUAAGCAGUUUCUUAGGAACCGUCACAAAUCAACUCUAACUCUAUAUUGAAUUGACCCACUUAAUUGCAGCAGAAUGAGGGUGUUGUGGAUUUCAUGUCUGCUGAUUGGAAGCAUCUCCUGUGGUCCUGUGGGAAAAGACGAUGGAUCAAACAGUGCUGACAUGCGCUUCAUGCAGCAGCCAUCUUCUUCUGGGUAUUUCUUCAGUGGAAGAGGGGUGAGUUCUGACCUGGGCAGCAGCUCCCCUCUACCAAGUCUACCCAACCCACGCUCUUUCAAAGCUACUGAACAACUUGCUGCUCAAGAUCCCCUUUUCAAUGCUGGCCCUGGCAGUUACGUCGGCUCUCAAGGUGUUUUACAGCAGCCGCACCAACAUGGCUCAGGGUAAUGAGUUUGACAGUGGCUAUACUGGUUUUGGGGCUAAAGGCUACAACAGCCCUGAGGUCAGUGAAUAUGGGGUUCCUUAUGCAGCUUCUCAGGCCACUGGGUAUGACAUCAGUGCGUAUGUAGGGGACAGCUCUUCCGGGUUUGUUGCAGCCCCGCAAGAUGAGAACUCUGCUAGUAGCUAUGGCGCCAGUGACGAAGCCCUUGAGCCAGUCUUCAGUGACGUGUCCGAUCUGGAGCCGGUCUACUCGUUCAGCUCUCGUUCACGCUACCAGCGAGGAAGAGCAGUAUUUGUUCAAACCCGCUACACCCCAGGAGAGCCUGUUCCCCCACUCAUGCCAAUAUACAGACGCGUCAGCAAAACUGCUAUGAAGCAAAGCAGUCCUGCUAAAGCUCCAACCAAAGGUGGCUUCUAAAGACCUUUUCUGGUCUCCAUGUUUUGUGAGGUCUCAUUGCUGCCUAGUGAUCAUGACAAGAUGCCAAUAAACUAGUUGACAAAGUCUUACCUUGUA